GACGAACGCUGGCGGCGUGCUUAACACAUGCAAGUCGAACGGAAAGGCCCUGCUUUUGUUGGGUGCUCGAUUGGCGAACGGGUGAGUAACACGUGAGUAACCUGCCCUUGACUUUGGGAUAACUUCAGGAAACUGGGGCUAUUACCGGAUAGGAGCUCCUGCUGCAUGUUGGGGGUUGGAAAGUUUCGGCGGUUGGGGAUGGACUCGCGGCUUAUCAGCUUGUUUGUGGGGUAGUUGCUGACCAAGGCUUUGACGGGUAGCCGGCCUGAGAGGGUGACCGGGCACAUGGGGACUGAGAGACGGCGCAGAAGCCUACGGGAGGCAGCAGGGGGGAAUAUUGCACAAUGGGCGGAAGCGUGAUGCAGAAACGCCGCGUGCGGGAUGACGGCCUUCGGGUGGUAAACAGCUUUCGAAUGUGACGAAGAGUGAGUGACGGUAAUGGGUAAAGAAGCACCGGCUAACUACGUG
rnacentral:rRNA from 1 species